GUGAUGGGACACAGGUAAGGUAGUGAUGGGACACAGGUAAGGUAGUGAUGGGACACAGGUAAGGUAGUGAUGGGACACAGGUAAGGUAGUGAUGGGACACAGGUAAGGUAGUG